GAGAUGGUUGAUAAGGAGAAGUAUGUUCUUUUAUUUGAUCACUUUAUCAUUAAUUGUUUUGAGAAAUUAUCCAGGCAUCUGUCCACUCAAUUGCAUCAAAUGCUGGAGCUGAGGGUGCUGUAAUUGUUGAAAAACUACUGGAACAAGACAAUCCUGAUCUAGGAAAACUAUUGGAACAAAUUCACUGGAGUUUUAAUGGAGCCAUUAUAAGAGUUAACGUGAUCAUUUUUUUUUCAUUAUCAUUGUCUCACUUUUUUUUAUUUUUGGGGGGUUAAACUGAGACAUUAUGGGUCAACUUUGAACCAUUAUCUCUGUUGAUAUUUGCCAUUAAAUAUAAUGACUAACUAUUGGUUUCAGUGCUUUGUUGCUCAUCAGUCAUAGUUUCAUCUUCGCAAUUAAAAAAUAUUUAUAUUAAUCACAGCAAACUUUUGUUGCGAACAUUAGCUUAUAAGGGUUGUUUGCUUCAUAAUAAAGUUAAAACUAUUAAUCAUCGUCUUCUAUACAUCAGUGGCCUCAGUCCUAAAGGAAGUAAUUUUUGUUUUUACUCCAUUGUUGUAAUGUAUAGUCUGCUGUGAUGGAACUGAUGGCAAAGUAACAUGCUCAAAUACCUGUUGGAAGACUGGGAAAGCUGCUUCGGAUAAAAUGAUAAAGAAGACUGCUACAUAUCAAGACAGUGAAAGCUUUUGAAGGAAGAAUUUGAAAAAGCAAAAUUAGCUCUGACUAAGGACGAGGCUGAAUUUUCAAAAUUGAAAAAAUAAGAAAGCAAACUUAAAGAUAUUGUGCAACAGCUAAAUGAUAAUUAAUUUUGACAAGGAGUGUAAGUGGGGGAGGGAGUAUUCCAGCACCAAAAGCAUCUCCUGAGGCUUGGCAAGGAUUGUUAUGAUGUUCUUAGAGGAGAAUAAGAAUGUUGCUGCUUUGACAACUAAGCUAAGACUGCUUUGGAAGAGAAAUCUGCUCUGGCUAAGGACGAGGCUGAACUUUCAAUAUUGAAAAUAAAGAAGAAAGCGCACUUGAAGAUGUGCAAUAGCUAAAAGGAAAAACAGUGGACAAAGGUGAAGGAGAAGAUUGACAAAUAUGUAAAAAAAAAAAAGUAGGUCCUGAAAUAUAUUUCUUUAUGUUUUCUUAUAAGAGUCUAAUUGGAUCUAUGUCAGUAUAAUUGUCCAAAAUUUAAUUAGCUGUUUUGUUCUAUGUUUUAACAUUGAUGAACUUUGUGUUUUUUUUAUACUAGAGUAAUAUAUUUUGUGAUAG